AAACAGAGUUGCGACACUCCCAUAGACCGCCAUAGGAACUUUGGAAUGCGGAAGUAACGCGUGUCGUGGAGCAGCCGAUAGUUCCAGCACUGAACCCCAUUCAUUUUCAGUGUUUCCGAAGUACGCUCGCUGCAACAGGCUUUUCUUCAAGACCCGGUCUCCUCUGGGGCCUAUAACACACUCUGCUUCUGGCAGGGGAAUGCUCUCACACACAAAUACAACAGGUCUCCAGGUCAUCAGCUUCGGGGACAGAAUGUAAUGGCUAUUGUGAACACUUGUAUUCCUUUUCUGGCCGGCUUUCUGCCAUCGUUCUCUCCCUGUAGGAAGUCGAACAAGUUUCUUUGAAGACAGAAGAUUCAAGGAAAACUUACCUACCCUCUCCCUAGAUAUAAUAUAUAAUUAAAUGUUUUGUUGAAUGCAA